AUUGAACGCUGGCGGCAGGCCUAACACAUGCAAGUCGAGCGAGCGUCGGGCGGGUGAGUGAUGUAUGUGGGCUGCGCCAUAGGUGGGGGUAACAACUGGAAACGGUGGCUACUACUGCAUACUGUCGCAUAAACCAUAGGGGAUGAGCUAGUAGUUAAGUUAAUGGCUAACCUAGGCGACGAUCCCUAGCUGGUCUGAGAGGAUGAUCAGCCACACUGGAACUGAGACACGGCCCAGAAUCCUACGGAGGCAGCAGUGGGGAAUAUUGCACAAUGGGCGAAAGCCUGAUGCAGCCAUGCCGCGUGUAGGAAGAAGGCCCUAGGGUUGUAAAGUACUUUCAGUCGGGAGGCGUUACCGACAGAAGAAGCACCGGCUAACUCCGUGCCAGCAGCCGCGGUAAUAC
rnacentral:rRNA from 1 species